GAUGAACGCUGGCGGCGUGCCUAAUACAUGCAAGUCGAGCGAACAGACGAGGAGCUUGCUCCUCUGACGUUAGCGGCGGACGGGUGAGUAACACGUGGAUAACCUACCUAUAAGACUGGGAUAACUUCGGGAAACCGGAGCUAAUACCGGAUAAUAUAUUGAACCGCAUGGUUCAAUAGUGAAAGACGGUUUUGCUGUCACUUAUAGAUGGAUCCGCGCCGCAUUAGCUAGUUGGUAAGGUAACGGCUUACUAAGGCAACGAUGCGUAGCCGACCUGAGAGGGUGAUCGGCCACACUGGAACUGAGACACGGUCCAGACUCCUACGGGAGGCAGCAGUAGGGAAUCUUCCGCAAUGGGCGAAAGCCUGACGGAGCAACGCCGCGUGAGUGAUGAAGGUCUUCGGAUCGUAAAACUCUGUUAUUAGGGAAGAACAAUUGUGUAAGUAACUAUGCACGUCUUGACGGUACCUAAUCAGAAAGCCACGGCUAACUACGUG
rnacentral:rRNA from 1 species